ensembl:snRNA U1 U1 spliceosomal RNA
AUACUUCCCUGGCAGGGCAGAUACCAUGAUCUUAAAGGCAGUUUUCCCAGGGCACGGCUUAUCCAUAUCCAUUACACUCUGGAUCCAUUAUAGGGAUGUGCGGAUCCCUGGAAUUGCCCCACAUGUGGGAAGCUCUACUGCAGAAUUUGUGGUAGUGAGUGACUGCAUUGUGCAUUCAUGUA